GAUAUCGAACAAAUAUCCCCGAUGACGGUACCGUGAGAAUAAGCCACGGCUAACUCUGUGCCAGCAGCCGCGGUAAGACAGAGGUGGCAAGCGUUGUUCGGAAUUACUGGGCGUAAAGAGUCUGUAGGUGGUUUGUCAAGUCUUUGGUGAAAGGCCGUAGCUUAACUAUGGGAAUGCCAAAGAGACUGGCAGGCUGGAGGCUGGGAGAGGGAAGCGGAAUUUCUGGUGUAGCGGUGAAAUGCGUAGAUAUCAGAAGGAAGGCCGGUGGCGAAGGCGGCUUCCUGGAACAGUCCUGACACUGAGAGACGAAAGCGUGGGGAGCAAACAGGAUUAGAUACCCUGGUAGUCCACGCCCUAAACGA
rnacentral:rRNA from 1 species